rnacentral:tRNA from 2 species
GGGCAGGUGUCAGAGUGGUCGAAUGAGCACGCUUGGAAAGCGUGUGUGCGGGUAACCGUACCGAGGGUUCGAAUCCCUCCCUGUCCGCCA